GGGAGCUAUGGGGUUGGAAGGAACUGGCAGACGCAGAAAGACACAAGCUAUCCUCACUAUUGUCUGUAAAAGAGUAUACUCACGAUCAUUGACGAAUGAUAUAGCAAGAAAAAUAUGGGAAGAAAAGGCAAGAGCCAUCUUCACCAACCCAAAAGUUAGGUGUUCCUUCACAUGGGAUUCCUGCUAGCUGCAAACAAACAGAACAUACUUCGAUUCAUUCAACAUGCUCAGUAAACCUCAAUAAAUUAUAGUUAUUCCCAGUGACCUCCAACAUCUAGUUGCGGGCUAAUAAUUUGCCAAGGCCUAUGACCAUCCUGUUAGAUUGCAGUACGACAAAUAUGGGUUUCAAUUGUUAAAGCAUUAACAGUAAAAUCUGAGGAACUCAACCUCAUAAAGGU